UACGAACUGUGCAAACGUUAUUCGGAAUCACUGGGCUUAAAGGGUGCGUAGGCGGUCAUUUAAGUAGGGUGUGAAAGCCCUCGGCUCAACCGGGGAACUGCGUCCUAAACUGGGUGACUGGAGUGAGAUAGAGGUGUGUGGAACUUCCAGUGGAGCGGUGAAAUGUGCUGAUAUUGGAAGGAACGCCGGUGGCGAAAGCGACACACUGGGUCUCAACUGACGCUGAGGCACGAAAGCCAGGGGAGCGAACGGG
rnacentral:rRNA from 1 species